CCUACGGGGGGCAGCAGUGAGGAAUAUUGGUCAAUGGACGAGAGUCUGAACCAGCCAAGUAGCGUGAAGGAUGACUGCCCUAUGGGUUGUAAACUUCUUUUAUAGAGGAAUAAAACGAGGCACGUGUGCCUUUUUGCAUGUACUUUAUGAAUAAGGAUCGGCUAACUCCGUGCCAGCAGCCGCGGUAAUACGGAGGAUGCGAGCGUUAUCAGGAUUUAUUGGGUUUAAAGGGAGCGUAGAUGGGUUGUUAAGUCAGUUGUGAAAGUUUGCGGCUCAACCGUAAAAUUGCAAUUGAUACUGGCAGUCUUGAGUACAGUUGAGGUAGGCGGAAUUCGUGGUGUAGCGGUGAAAUGCUUAGAUAUCACGAAGAACCCCGAUUGCGAAGGCAGCUUACUAAACUGUGACUGACAUUGAUGCUCGAAAGUGUGGGGAUCAAACAGGAUUAGAUACCCCUGUAGUC
rnacentral:rRNA from 1 species